rnacentral:rRNA from 1 species
UACGUAGGGUGCAAGCGUUAAUCGGAAUUACUGGGCGUAAAGCGUGCGCAGGCGGUUUUGUAAGUUUGUCGUGAAAUCCCCGGGCUCAACCUGGGAAUGGCGAUGAAGACUGCAAGGCUAGAAUCUGGCAGAGGGGGGUAGAAUUCCACGUGUAGCAGUGAAAUGCGUAGAGAUGUGGAGGAACACCGAUGGCGAAGGCAGCCCCCUGGGUCAAGAUUGACGCUCAUGCACGAAAGGCGUGGGGAGCAAACAG